AUUGUAUGCAGUUGAUGUGCCUAGAGAGGCAGCCAGAUUCCUGCUGAGGGGAAGAAGGCAAGAGGAAGAGUCCCAGCCUUGGGCCAAGGAACCUGUGAUUCCUGGCCUAUUCGUGAAACCAAGAUUGUCAUGAGAGACCAACCAUCCCAGCCUGGCAUCCGUGCAGAAUUCUCCCAGAAUUGCAUGAGGUGUACAGAUGCCAAGCCUUGCGAAGAGUUCCAGGGGCACAUCAGCAGGAAACUGGAUCAGAAAUGGAGCAACCAGGACUCAUACCAAAUGCCGAUAUUGUGGGUGGCUGCUCAAUUUGUUACACCGCCCUGCCAGCUCAGAACCAAUCACUUCAACCUAGUUUGGAAUUCAAAGGGAUCUCACCUUGCGUUUCAUUAAGAAUGGUUCAAGUCCUGGCUGCUCUACUGCAGAUCCAGCUCCCUGCUACCAGACCUGGGAAAGCAGCAGAGGAUGGCUCAACUGCUUGGAUGCCUGCAUCUACAGGGAAGAUCCAGAAGAUGCUCCUGGUUCCUGGCU